ACGCUCGACACCUACAGGAGGCAGCAGUAGGGAAUCUUCCACAAUGGACGCAAGUCUGAUGGAGCAACGCCGCGUGAGUGAAGAAGGUCUUCGGAUCGUAAAACUCUGUUGUUAGAGAAGAACACGAGUGAGAGUAACUGUUCAUUCGAUGACGGUAUCUAACCAGCAAGUCACGGCUAACUACGUGCCGGCAGCCGCGGUAAUCUGAGCGGGCUGGCAAGGC
rnacentral:rRNA from 1 species